UACGGGGGGGGCAAGCGUUGUUCGGAAUCACUGGGCGUAAAGGGCGCGUAGGCGGGAUGGCAAGUCAGUCGUGAAAUCUCUCGGCUCAACCGAGAAACGUCGGCUGAUACUGCCGUUCUUGAGGGAUGCAGAGGAGACUGGAAUUCCCGGUGUAGCGGUGAAAUGUGUAGAGAUCGGGAGGAACACCGGUGGCGAAGGCGGGUCUCUGGGCAUCUCCUGACGCUGAGGCGCGAAAGCGUGGGGAGCAAACGGG
rnacentral:rRNA from 1 species